UCUUUAUUAAAUACUAAAACAAAUUUUAUUAUAAUUAUUUUUAAUAAUUUAAAUUUUAAAAAUAAUAAAUUAAUAAAUAAAAUAUAAUCAAUUUAUAUUGAUUUGCACAAAAAUCUUUUCAAUGUAAAUGAAAUACUUUACUUAAUAAGCUUUAAAUUGCAUUCUAGAUACACUUUCCAGUACAUCUACUAUGUUACGACUUAUCUUACCUUAAUAAUAAGAGUGACGGGCGAUGUGUACAUAUUUUAGAGCUAAAAUCAAAUUAUUAAUCUUUAUAAUUUUACUAUCAAAUCCACCUUUAAUAAAUAUUUCAAAUUUAUAUCCGUAUAAAUAAUUUUAUUGUAACCCAUAUCUACUUAAAUAUAAGCUACACCUUGAUCUGAUAUAUUUUCUAUUUUAAAAUUAAGAAAAUUAACUUUCUUAUAAAAUAUUCUAAUAACAACGGUAUAUAAACUGAUAACAAAUUUAAGUAAGGUCCAUCGUGGAUUAUCGAUUACAGAACAGGUUCCUCUGAAUAGACUAAAAUACCGCCAAAUUUUUUAAGGUUCAAGAACAUAACUA
rnacentral:rRNA from 1 species